AAAACGUGUGACAUUAAGUCUUGCGUAAUAUGUUUGGUUAAAUAAUUGAUGCCUAGUUAAUGUGUUAUAUAUUCCUAUUCGACAGAGGAGACACAAGACGCUCAUAACAUACCCAUUUUGUGCAUUUGUGUUUGCGGGAAAAGGAAAAUGAAAUCAAGUCACAUCAUGUGUAUUGCCUUUUUUCUUGCCGUAAUGUACGGACCAUGUAAGUCAAGUCUUUAUCUAUUUUUAUGUGAUAUAGUUUUUAUGUAAAGAGAACAUACAUUAUACGCAGAUAUCUAGAGAAACAUUUAAUGAACAUUCACAAAACGAUAUUUAUUUGACUCCGUUGAACAUACAUUGCUUGUUAUUUUGCAUCCUUUCUAUUAAGUUUUUUUUUUAAAUUUAAUUUGUCAUUUCUUGUACUAUAAAUUCUGAUAUAAAAUGUGCUUUAUAUACCUUGUUUUCCCGUUCAGAUAUACUUUCUAAACUGAAUUAAUAGUUAAAGCCUCUAACUAAAUUUGAAAUCCAUAAAUAUUACAGGUUAUUCAGGAUUUGCUUGUAGGAGGAGUGGUGGAGUUUGUGCGAACAGCUUUUGUCCCAAGGGGUAUUUCGAGGACCAUUUGCCACACGAUGACUGUUGUUCUACUGAAAUAUGCUGUCUUCCCCUGAUACAUCAAAAGCCUUCCAAUUAUCCAAGUACUCACUUUGAUUUAAAUGAAUUGUGUUUUUUUUAUGAUCUCAUGUAUAUGUAUUGCCCAAUUAUGUGUUGUUCAUUUCUUUGAAUACUAUAAUUUGAAUUUUAUAUAUAUAAAGCUCUAAAAUAAUCAAAUAAAUGAUUGAUAAGUAAUCACUAUUAUCAGACAUGAAACCUGUACAUGUAUAUCAAUUAUAGUACGCAAAACUGGAUUUCCUAAAUAAUUACCCUUUAAAUCCGAUUGCAAGUAAAAGGUUAAAAAGUGGAGUAUAUUUAUCAUUCACAGCAUUAUCAAAACCUAACAGCAGAGCAUACAUGUACACCUUUUACCUGUAUGAUGCAUAUGAAAUACGAGGAUACUCAAACGUCAAUACAACAGCACAUUAAUGAUGAGAACGAUAACAUGCAAUCAUAAAAAGAAAAAGUAUUAUUUGAAAUAAGAAUAUCAGAAAUAAAAAUAACAAUUACUUGAACAUGUAUUCAAUUCUUUGAUUUAAACCACUAUCAAUUGCUUCAUGUCAUGAUUGUGAAUAUUGUAUGCAAUUAUGAUAUGGUUGGUUGUUUUAGUCAAAAAUAUCUGUAUGUGUAUAUGUAACAUGGAAAACUUUUUCUUUCAGGUUACUAAGAC
rnacentral:lncRNA from 1 species